UUAACCUUCUUUAUUUCCCCUAAUUUUCCUCCUCAUUUAGUUUCCUUUCUUAUUACAAAUGCACCCCAUAAAAUCAGUAUGAAAUCAUCAUCAACAAAUCAACAAUUAAUUCGCAAGAAAUCACGAAACAUAAUCAUCUCCAAAAUUGAAUUCGUUUGACUAGGUUUUAUUCGACUUCAUAUCUCGUCAGAAUUAAUCCACGCUUCUUCUCUUCGUUUCUUACCCACCAAGCUCCUCCAAUUCCUUCCUGUUCAAGCAACUUUUGACGCAGAUAAGUGCAAAUACGAAGAUUAGAUAUGUGAGAUCUCACUAUUCUGCAUUGGUUUUGUUUCAAUGGAGAUUUUCGAAGGGCCUUCAUCGUUGAUCUUUGCUCAUGGUGGAGAUUUAGGUUAAUUUUGUAAUCCAUUAAAUGAAACAAAAAUCAUCCAAUCUUUUGUCACGCCAGGAGUUUUGAACUACUGGAUCCUCAACUACUUUCAUCUAUGUAUGAAAGGAAGCUGCUAAAACCUUUUCACCUUUUUUAAUUUGGGCAGUGAGGUCUUUUAGUUUGGGCCAGUGAGGUCUGGUGUAAGCAAGUGGUUCGUAACCUAAUGGAAGAGAAGGGCGGGCGAUUCCUAGAUGUUUUUUUUUUCUUUUUAGCAGUGCUUUACAGCAGCUGGUUAAUGUGGCUACUUCAAUCCAUUUCAGCUUGAUAUUGGUCAGCCCCUACCUGAUCCCGGGUUGCUUUUGGAGUAAAUAAUUAUUGGACGAAAGUAAAUGAAAAAGUACAAAAUGGAUUCAACAACAGUAUGGAAUUGGAAAUCAAGCAUAAUUAUGGACAAACAGGUGGGUUGUUAAAAUUUGGAGUUUGGACGUGGCAUUGAAACUUGCAUAUUCGAUAAGCUUCAUAAAUUUUCCACUUCUAAGGCUUGGUUGCUGCUUGGUGUCACUCACUGCCACUGGAGGUGAUGAUAUUGAUAAGAACUCUAUUUUUACAGAAACUUCAAUUUAUUUAUAAAUUUUGCAAAUAUCUUUAAUUUGUGAGCUUUAUAUCAAUAUAACACGUUUGCAUAAACAUCUUGCUGGUUCCACAAACAUCCUUUUGAAAUCCAAUCCUUUUUUUUUCUAAUUUCCUAUCAAUUUUGGUCUCAGUGUCGUCAAAGUUAACAUUUAACUGUCAAAAUUAUAUAAUGACCACAGGGACCAAAUUUGUUAUGUACCCUAAUAUGUGUUAUUUGUUUUCUGUAAAUUAACCUUAAGAAAAUUUUGAAAUUUUAGUCAUGGAUCAUGCUCAAAUGAUUAGUUAUGGAUUUAUAUUCUAUGGUCCUUAUGAAUUGUUGUUAUGUUAGGGGAAUACUGAUGUGCUUCGGUGCUUGUAAUGAUCUUUCACAAUAUUACCGACAAAAUAUCUAAUUUUAUAAAAAAAAUGAAAAUGUAGGAUUAAUGAUUUUGCACGUUGUUAAGUUUUAAUAUUGUUUUACUUUCCUUUGCAAAACAUAGUAUUUAUUUUUGGACUUUUUUAGUUUUAUUUUAACAUUGAUAUUUUAUUUUCUACCGAAUGUGAUCG